rfam:Trichinella zimbabwensis scaffold86s, whole genome shotgun sequence.
CCUCUGAUAGCUCAGUUGGUAGAGCGGUGGACUGUAGAUGAAAUUCAGAAAUCCAUAGGUCGCUGGUUCAAAUCCGGCUCAGAGGA